rnacentral:piRNA from 1 species
UCUGGGAGGGAGACAUAGACCCAAAUGUU